rnacentral:rRNA from 1 species
CACCGCGGUUAUACGAGAGGCCCAAGCUGACAGCCAUCGGCGUAAAGCGUGGUUAAAUAUUUAAAUAAAAUAAAGCUGAAUGUUCCCUCAACUGUUAUACGUUCUCGGGAACUAGAAACCCUCCUACGAAAGUGACUUUAAUAUUAUUGAAACCACGAAAGCUAAGAUA